GACGAACGCUGGCGGCGUGCUUAACACAUGCAAGUCGAACGGAAAGGCCUCUUUCGGGGGGUACUCGAGUGGCGAACGGGUGAGUAACACGUGAGUAACCUGCCCUUGACUUUGGGAUAACUUCAGGAAACUGGGGCUAAUACCGGAUAGGAGCUCCUGCUGCAUGGUGGGGGUUGGAAAGUUUCGGCGGUUGGGGAUGGACUCGCGGCUUAUCAGCUUGUUGGUGGGGUAGUGGCUUACCAAGGCUUUGACGGGUAGCCGGCCUGGGAGGGUGACCGGCCACAUUGGGACUGAGAUACGGCCCAGACUCCUACGGGAGGCAGCAGUGGGGAAUAUUGCACAAUGGGUGGAAGCCUGAUGCAGCAACGCCGGGGGCGGGAUGACGGCCUUCGGGUUGUAAAACGCUUUCGCUCAUGACGAAGCUUUGUGUGACGGUAGUGGGUAAAGAAGCACCGGCUAACUACGUG
rnacentral:rRNA from 1 species